rnacentral:rRNA from 1 species
GACGAACGCUGGCGGCGUGCUUAACACAUGCAAGUCGAGCGGUAAGGCCUCUUCGGGGGUACACGAGCGGCGAACGGGUGAGUAACACGUGGGUGACCUGCCUCUAGCUCUGGGAUAAGCCUGGGAAACUGGGUCUAAUACCGGAUAUUCACUUCCUGCUGCAUGGUGGGUGGUGGAAAGUUUUUCGGCUGGAGAUGGGCCCGCGGCCUAUCAGCUUGUUGGUGGGGUGAUGGCCUACCAAGGCGACGACGGGUAGCCGGCCUGAGAGGGCGACCGGCCACACUGGGACUGAGACACGGCCCAGACUCCUACGGGAGGCAGCAGUGGGGAAUAUUGCGCAAUGGGCGGAAGCCUGACGCAGCGACGCCGCGUGGGGGAUGACGGCCUUCGGGUUGUAAACCUCUUUCGACCUCGACGAAGCGUGAGUGACGGUAGGGGUAGAAGAAGCACCGGCCAACUACGUGCCAGCCGCCGCCGUAACAC